rnacentral:tRNA from 2 species
GCGUAGCUUAACUAAAGCAUAACACUGAAGCUGUUAA